UGGGGAAUAUUGCACAAUGGAGGGAACUCUGAUGCAGCGACGCCGCGUGAACGAAGAAGGCUUUCGAGUCGUAAAGUUCUUUUAUAUGGGAAGAUAAUGACGGUACCAUAAGAAAAAGCCCCGGCUAACCACGUGCCAGCAGCCGCGGUAAUACGUAGGGGGCUAGCGUUGUCCGGAAUCACUGGGCGUAAAGGGUUCGCAGGCGGAAAUGCAAGUCAGGUGUAAAAGGCAGUAGCUUAACUACUGUAAGCAUUUGAAACUGCAUAUCUUGAGAAGAGUAGAGGUAAGUGGAAUUUUUAGUGUAGCGGUGAAAUGCGUAGAUAUUAAAAAGAAUACCGGUGGCGAAGGCGACUUACUGGGGUCAUUCUGACGCUGAGGAACGAAAGCGUGGGUAGCAAACAGG
rnacentral:rRNA from 1 species